GAGCGGCCGAUGCCCGAUUAGCUAGUUGGCGGGGUAAUGGCCCACCAAGGCGACGAUCGGUAGCUGGUCUGAGAGGACGACCAGCCACACUGGGACUGAGACACGGCCCAGACUCCUACGGGAGGCAGCAGUGGGGAAUUUUGGACAAUGGGGGCAACCCUGAUCCAGCCAUGCCGCGUGUGUGAAGAAGGCCUUCGGGUUGUAAAGCACUUUCGGACGGAACGAAAUCGCGCGGGCGAAUAUCCCGCGUGGAUGACGGUACCGUAAGAAGAAGCACCGGCUAACUACGUGCCAGCAGCCGCGGUAAUACGUAGGGUGCGAGCGUUAAUCGGAAUUACUGGGCGUAAAGUGUGCGCAGGCGGCUGAGCAAGUCGAGUGUGAAAGCCCCGGGCUUAACUUGGGAAUUGCGCUCGAAACUACUUGGCUGGAGUGUGGCAGAGGAAGGUGGAAUUCCACGUGUAGCGGUGAAAUGCGUAGAGAUGUGGAGG
rnacentral:rRNA from 1 species